rnacentral:rRNA from 1 species
CCUACGGGCGGCUGUAGUGAGGAAUAUUGGUCAAUGGUCGGGAGACUGAACCAGCCAAGCCGCGUGAGGGAUGAAGGUACAGAGUAUCGUAAACCUCUUUUGUCAGGGAACAAAGGCGGGGACGUGUCCCCGGAUGAGUGUACCUGAAGAAAAAGCAUCGGCUAACUCCGUGCCAGCAGCCGCGGUAAUACGGAGGAUGCGAUCGUUAUCGGGAUUUGUUGGGUUUAAGGGGUGCGCGGGUGGUCUGUUAAGUCAGCGGUAAAAGCCCGGGGCCCACCCCCGGCCCGCCGUUGAAACUGGCAGUCUCGAGUUGGAGAGAAGUAUGCGGAAUGCGCGGUGUAGCGGUGAAAUGCAUAGAUAUCGCGCAGAACUCCGAUUGCGAAGGCAGCAUGCCGGCUCCACACUGACGCUGAGGCACGAAAGCGUGGGUAUCGAACAGGAUUAGAUACCCCUGUAGUC